CUGUGGAGGGAGGCGGGGCGAGCCGGGUCGGGGCGACCAUGGUCACCCUGGAGGCUCCGCUCCCGCGCGCUGACCUAUUAGGACGCGCCGCUGUGAAACUCUGCUGAAGCUGCAGGAGCAGUCGUUCCGGGUGGAUCCAGACAAACGCUGAGAGGGAAUCGAUGUGUGUCGCCCUCCGAACCACGUUAUCCAGAGGGCCUGGUGGUUUGUCUCUCGUCUCGCAGGAGCUCGAACGUUUCGUCAACGCCUGGCGGGACCGUUAGAUCCAUGAGGUGAGUUGCCCAAAAGAGGAGAAAAGAAUGCACGAUGAACUUCUACGUGCAAUAUCUAAGGACUUUCCAGUUCUAAGCCAGCUGUAAUCUCCUUAUUGUAAGAAGGGAAA